rnacentral:tRNA from 1 species
UACUAUAUAGCCAUUAGGUGCUAUUUUGAAAAAAUAAUAAUAAGCAAAUUGCUUUAUGGUAU